GGGGUUGUGGCUUAGUGGUAGAGCACUUGCCUCAUUCGCAUGAGGCACUGGGUUCCAUCCUCAGCAUCACAU
rnacentral:tRNA from 1 species